UGAUAUUUAUGCCCCCCUUUGAAGAAGAAGGGGUAUAUUGCUUUGCACAUGUUGGUCUGUCGGUCGGUCUGUCGGUCCGUCCACCAGUUGGUUUCCGGAUGAUAACUCAAGAACGCUUAGGCCUAGGAUCAUGAAACUUCAAAGGUAGAUAGAUCAUGACUCGCAGGUGACCCCUAUUGAUUUUGAGGUCACUAGGUCAAAGGUCGAGGUCAUGGUGACUCGAAACAGUAAAAUGGUUUCCGGAUGAUAACUCAAGAACGCAUAUGCCUUGCAGGAUCAUGAAACUUCAUAGGUAGAUUGAUCAUGACUUGCAGAUGACCCCUAUUGAUUUUGAGGUCACUAGGUCAACGGUCAAGGUCACGGUGACCCGAAAUAGUAAAAUGGUUUCCGGAUGAUAACUCAAGAACGCAUAUGCCUAGGAUCAUGAAACUUCAUAGGUAGAUUGAUCAUGACUUGCAGAUGACCCCUAUUGAUUUUGAGGUCACUAGGUCAAAGGUCAAGGUCACAGUGACCAGAAAUAGUAAAAAUGUUUUCCGGAUGAUAACUCAAGAACGCAUACGCCUAGGAUCAUGAAACUUAAUAGGUAGAUAGAUCAUGACUUGCAGAUGAACCCUAUUGAUUUUGAGGUCAGUAGGUCAAAGGUCAAGGUCACGGUGACCCGAAAUAGUACAAUAGUUUCCGGAUGAUAACUCAAGAACACAUAUGCCUAGGAUCAUGAAACUUCAUGGGUAGAUUGAUCAUGACUCACAGAUGACCCCUAUUGAUUUUGAGGUCACUAGGUCAAAGGUCAAGGUCACAGUGACCCGAAAUAGUUAAAUGGUUUCCGGAUGAUUACUCAAGAACACUUACGCCUAGGAUCAUGAAACUUCAUAGGUACAUUGAUCAUGACUCGCAGAUGACCCAUAUUGAUUUUCAGGUCACUAGGUCAAAGGUCAAGGUCAAGGUGACCCAAAACAGUAACAUUGUUUCCGGAUGAUAACUCAAGAACGCUUUUGCCUAGGAUCAUGACACUUCAUAGGUACAUUAAUCAUGACUCGCAGAUGACCCCUAUUGAUUUUCAGCUCACUAGGUCAAAGGUCAAGGUCACAGUGACAAAAACCGUAUUCACACAAUGGCUGCCACUACAACGGACAGCCCUUAUUAGGGGCAUGCAUGUUUUACAAACAGCCCUUGUUGUUUAUGUUUCACUUUGUAGAAAUUCUAAAUGCUCAUAUUUAGUUAUGUUCUACUGUGUAUCUAUUCUGAAAUCCAAAAUGUGCCAUUUAAAAAGUAUUUUCUGUGUAUCACUAUAAAUUAACAGGUACUAAACAGCCAUUUGGAGUUCAUAUAUCCUGGAAUAAAAGUAGGAUGUUCAGUACAAAAGUGAUAUAAUGAGCCAGGUACUGAAAAGAACUGGGCUUAAUGCACGAGUUUAAAAUGUUGUCCCAGAUUAGCUUUUCUUGGAUGAUGACUCUUAAAGCACAUGACUAGUUUUCCUGGAACAAGGCUCUAACCAUGAAUAAGAAUUUAAUAAAAAAUGUUAGGUCGACUA